rnacentral:rRNA from 1 species
CAUUGGCUCAACCAANGUAUGCUUUGGAAACUGUUAGACUUGAGUGCAGAAGGGGAGAGUGGAAUUCCAUGUGUAGCGGUGAAAUGCGUAGAUAUAUGGAGGAACACCGGUGGCGAAAGCGGCUCUCUGGUCUGUCACUGACGCUGAGGCUCGAAAGCGUGGGUAGCGAACAGGAUUAGAUACCCUGGUAGUNUACGCCGUAAACGCUGAGUGCUAGGUGUUAGGUCCUUUCCGGGACUUAGUGCCGACGCUAACGCAUUAAGCACUCCGCCUGGGGAGUACGACCGCAAGGUUGAAACUCAAAGGAAUUGACGGGGGCCCGCACAAGCGGUGGAGCAUGUGGUUUAAUUCGAAGCAACGCGAAGAACCUUACCAGGUCUUGACAUCCCGAUGCCCGCUCUAGAGAUAGAGUUUUUCUUCGGAACAUCGGAGACAGGUGGUGCAUGGUUGUCGUCAGCUCGUGUCGUGAGAUGUUGGGUUAAGUCCCGCAACGAGCGCAACCCUUAUUGUUAGUUGCCAUCAUUAAGUUGGGUACUCUAGCGAGACUGCCGGUAAUAAACCGGAGGAAGGUGGGGAUGACGUCAAAUCAUCAUGCCCCUUAUGACCUGGGCUACACACGUGCUACAAUGGUUGGUACAACGAGUCGCAAGCCGGUGACGGCAAGCUAAUCUCUGAAAGCCGAUCUCAGUUCGGAUUGUAGGCUGCAACUCGCCUACAUGAAGUCGGAAUCGCUAGUAAUCGCGGAUCAGCACGCCGCGGUGAAUACGUUCCCGGGCCUUGUACACACCGCCCGUCACACCACGAGAGUUUGUAACACCCAAAGUCGGUGAGGUAACCAUUUAUGGGG